ensembl:snoRNA small nucleolar RNA SNORA5
CGCAGCCAAAUUCAGUGCUCCCCCCUCUGUGGUUGGUACUGGCCAAAAUGGCUGCUACAGUGAAGGAGCAGGUCAUGGGCCUCGGUGGGGGAUAAAUAUGUACUGCAUACAAGC